GGAAUACUGUGGCAGUACAAAUAACCCUCCAGGAUGUUUGUUCCAUAUUAAGCUGUUACGUGAUAUGUGCUUAAAUAUUCUGUCCUGAAUAAUCUCUAGUGUAGUCAAUACAAUCUUCUCAACUGAAGAAAAAUAAGCCUCCCACAAGAACUGUGUCUGCUGUCUAAGUGCUAGGAUUUUAUCCUGAUGGAUAGACCUGAUUGUAGAAGGA
rnacentral:lncRNA from 1 species